rnacentral:lncRNA from 1 species
AUUAAAAUAUUCGUUGAGGUAAAAAACAUAGAAAAGGAAAAUAAACACACAAGAGGCUCGAGGUCGUUCCCACCUAAUGAAAGAAAAAUAAAACAUAAAAAAUAAAAAUAAAAAUAAAAAUAUUAAGAGUUCUACUUUCCGUCUCCAAUUACAAAUAUUUUGGGGCAUACCCCGGAUAAUAAUAUAUACAUAUUCUUCGGGGCAUUCCCCGGAUAAAUUUAACUAUGAGAAACGACCUCUCGCCUCAAAACUAAAAUACGAACACCCUAAGGGUUUGCCUACCCAAAUGUUGCCGGCCUUAGCAUGCUCCUAGCGACUAAAUACAAGUAUAAAAGAAUAAUAUAAUUUAUCUUGCACCUAAACUUCUUUCAAUUUUACCCAACCACCCAACUAUUGAAAUCAAUUCCAAACAAGCUUUCAAAUUUGAACCAUUUAAUUUAAGAUCAAUAUCACUAGUUUCCAGAAUUCCAUGUGACUGAAUCUCUAAUGUCCAGUACGUUAGUUAGUCAAAUUUAAACAUAGGAUAAAAAAUAUCACAAUUAUCCAUGGAGAAUACACGGAUCUAUAGCUCAAACACAUAUGACAAAAACAUGAGGUAAAUAAUUAAAUAUAGAAACAGACCUUAAAGUACGAAGGCCUCUAACUUAACAAUUUUGUUUGGACGUCAAGAUUGCUAUGGCAAGGAACGACGAACGGAAGCUCAACGAGACAGACUCAACUCCUCAUCGGUGACUGACACAAACUCGGACUGAUCAGCAACUAGUUCGACAAUCCACAGCAACAAAUUUCGACUUGGGUGGUCACUAGUUGUUCGUUGGUUGGGUGACGGGGAUUCUUGUUGAAGAUGGAAGGUGAAGAAGCGGGCAACGGCCGGGAGGGUGGUCGUUAUUGUUGGUCAGCCGCCAGCGAGUUUUUUCCUUCCCCUUAGUUCUUGUUCAGUAUGUUGAAUAAGAAGCUGAGGAACCGGGGGAAGGGUCGUGUCUGGGCGCCGUUGAUCUUAAUCCUCCUCC